rnacentral:rRNA from 1 species
GUUAGGAAUAUUGGACAAUGGGCGCAAGCCUGAUCCAGCCAUGCCGCGUGAGUGAAGAAGGCCUUCGGGUUGUAAACUGCUUUUGUACGGAACGAAACGGUCCUGGCUAAUACCCGGGGCUAAUGACGGUACCGUAAGAAUAAGCACCGGCUAACUACGUGCCAGCAGCCGCGGUAAUACGUAGGGUGCGAGCGUUAAUCGGAAUUACUGGGCGUAAAGCGUGCGCAGGCGGUGCUGUAAGACAGGCGUGAAAUCCCCGGGCUCAACCUGGGAAUUGCGCUUGUGACUGCAGUGCUGGAGUGCGGCAGAGGGGGAUGGAAUUCCGCGUGUAGCAGUGAAAUGCGUAGAUAUGCGGAGGAACACCGAUGGCGAAGGCAAUCCCCUGGGCCUGCACUGACGCUCAUGCACGAAAGCGUGGGGAGCAAACAGGAUUAGAUACCCCGGUAGUCC